rnacentral:rRNA from 1 species
CGGAUGGAAGUUUAGAAACUUAGUGGCGGACGGGUGAGUAACGCGUGGGUAACCUGCCUCAUACAGGGGGAUAACAGUUAGAAAUGACUGCUAACACCGCAUAAUAUAGCGAAACCGCAUGAUUUUUGCUAUCAAAAUAGUUUAUAGGGUAUGAGAGUGGGCCCGCGUCUGAUUAGCUAGUUGGUGGGGUAAAAGCCUACCAAGGCGACGAUCAGUAGCCGGCUUGAGAGAGUGACCGGCCACAUUGGGACUGAGACACGGCCCAAACUCCUACGGGAGGCAGCAGUGGGGAAUAUUGGACAAUGGGGGAAACCCUGAUCCAGCGACGCCCGCGUGAGUGAAGAAGUAUUUCGGUAUGUAAAGCUCUAUCAGCAGGGAAGAUAAUGACAGUACCUGACUAAGAAGCCCCGGCUAACUACGUGCCAGCAGCAGC